rnacentral:rRNA from 1 species
CGUAUAUUAACGUUGUUGCAGUUAAAAAGCUCGUAGUUGGAUUUGUGGUUCGUUGCAUGGUCCCAGCAAAUUGUUGGGUGCCGUUGCGAGGAGCCAUCCUUGGGUGGAAUCUGUGUGGCAUUAGGUUGUCGCGCAGGGGAUGCCCAUCGUUUACUGUGAAAAAAUUAGAGUGUUCAAAGCAGGCUUAUGCCGUUGCAUUCUCCAGCAUGGAAUAAUAAGAUAGGACCUUGGUACUAUUUUGUUGGUUUGCGCACCAAGGUAAUGAUUAAUAGGGACAGUUGGGGG